UUAAGCUGUCACGCCAGACACAGUGCGCUUGGUUCCCACAGACCCAACAGCGCCCUGCCUCUCUCCCCAUAGAGGCCUACUAUGUGCAGAUAGGCCCCUCGGCCCACAAAGUCUGUGCUGACUGCAACCAUCAGGCUCCUGAACCAACAUGGAUCACUUCACUCACCCCAAUGGUGAAUCGAUCCCACAACCGACUCACUUUCAAGGCAGAGUUGCUAGCUCGACGCUCAGCCCGGCUUGGAUUCGAACUCAGGAACCUUCGCUCCGGAGUCCGGCACUGAUAUUAUUGCGCCACCAAGCUGGACAGGGACUACAACCAUAGGUCAUAGGUCCAUGGGAGCAGGUGGUGGAUGGUCGUGUGAGCAGCCGGUGCACAUCGCAAGUCCUAUCCGCGCGACCACUGACGCCAGGCAGACAAUCCCUGAAGAGUAUUGAUAACGGCUGGGGUCACCCGUCUGGUAGAGACACUGCACAGAAGAAGGCAAUGGCAAAUCACUUGUAUAGAAAAGUUUGCCAAGAACAAUCAUGGUCUCCAUGAUCACCUCCAUCAUACGACACAAGCACGUAAUGAUGAUGUCAUAUGACACGGCAUGCAAUGAUGAUGUCAUAUGACACGGCAUGUAAUGAUGAUGUCAUCUGACACAGCCCAUAAUGAAGCAAUGAUCAACAACAGCCAUCCUUGCUCAACCACAAACAAGAGAGAUUCUGCAGACACUGUAAAUCGGAGCAACACAUGCAAAAUGCUGGAGGAGCUCAGCAGGCCAGGGAGCAUCUAUGGAAAAGAGUACAGUCGAUGUUUUAGGCCUUGCACAAGCUAUUUUUCUAUUGCACUGGACUUGCCACCUGCCCUAGGACUGCUCCAGAUCUGGAUUUUUUUUCUCCUUGGGGGUUUUACUCCUGAAGCCUUCCCCAUGAGCGGGUAUAGUGGCAAGGCAGCGGGGGUUUGAGAUCAGAGUUUCCCUGCUCCUAGAUGGGCUGCCAACCACGGCCGACGAGCCCCAUCUGCCCGAAGCGACUGGUUUUUAAGGCACCGGUAUCCUGCCUUUGCCCCUUCUGUCAGUAGAAAUGUUUCUGAUGGGUUGAGUACCUAAGCCUCACGUGAGGCCAGGAACUGGACUUGGUUGUCAGAGGCUAUUUGAGAUGUGGGUGGGAGCUUAUCCCCACUAACGUACCGGCUAUGACAAGCUUAAGGAACCAUUACGAAAAAUUUUUGUAUUGAUCAUUAAAAAUUUAAGUUUACGUUGCUAUGUUU